UUUUUUAUUUUUAAUCAAUUGUCCUUUUAUGUAAUUUUAUAUAUUUCAAAAGUUUCCAGCUACUUUUGCCAAACAUUCAUAUAACAAAUAAAAGCUACAGCUUCCCGCUACCAGCUAUCCGCUACCAGCUAACCGCUACACGCUUCCGGCUAACAGCUACUUUUGCCAAACACGCCUUUAAUGUAUAGGUCCAUUUUAAUUUUAAUAUAAAAGUUCUAGACCAAUUGCACAGAUUAGCCAAACCUAAUGGACCAUUCGUGUAAUUUUACUCUAAGCUCAAAGAAAUCGUGCCCCAAUUGGCCAACUCCAUCACUCGUCGGCAUACAACCUAGAACAGACUCCAUAUCCGGCCACCCAACGCCGACCUCUCCGGCCACACCGGACGACUCCAUCUCUACGCCUAAGAAAUACGAUUAUCUAAACCGCCAUCGCCUCUUUGUCUCCAAUGCACCAUCACGCCGUCACCACCGCCCGUUGCUCCACUGCGUAAUCUCCCUACGCCGCCGCCCCCGUGACUCACUACUCCGCCCCAUCAUUGUCGUUCGAAUCUGGUAUCCCGCUUGCCUCAUCUUCCUCCUCAACUUGUUCCUUCUAUUUGAUUAAAGUAUUCAAUACAACAAUUUUUAAUGGCAAAAGUUGCAAAAUAUGGGUUCUUUUGUAUAUUCUUAUGAAGGGCAGGGUUAAAAGUUUUCUCUUUCGUCGAUUUCUUUACCUGCAAUAUAAUGAUAUGAUUAGGCCAAGAAUGAAGUUUUUCAAAUCCUUAAAACCUAAUUUCAAAAUCAAUCACUUCUCAUCAUCGCAAAAACCCCAACUUGACAAUGUUGGUCCAAUGGCUUCUCUCCUCAAAACCCGAUCCGUUAUCCGGUUCAAAGGCCCCGACACAAUCAAGUUCUUACAAGGCCUAUUGACGAACGAUGUCCGCAGGUUUACUGAGUCGACUCGUGACUAUGCCCCUAACCUCUCGACCCGGUCUCUAUACACCGCGAUGUUGACACUUGACACCACAAGGGAGGUUUUUGUACGAUAUGUUUCUCUACAACCCGCCCAGACCCGAUGAAAAGCUUGGCCCGAGUGGGUCCGGGUCGAGACCUGGACCCGAACCGGAUGAGGUGGAGCUUUUUGCUGAUAUUGAUUGUUCUGUGUUGGACGAGCUUCUGGAGACCCUAAAGAAAUAUCGAUUAAGGUCAAAGGUUGAUAUUGAAAAUGUGGGAGAAUCCUUCUCUUAUUGGCAACUUUAUGGUGUCGAUCUCCAUGAGAGACAAGGAAAUAGCAUCGGGUGGAAAUGGCAUAAAGAUCCCCGAUUGGAUUGUUUAGGCUUCCGAGGAAUCUUUCCCUCAAAUACAACACGUAAGUUCUCUUCUCCCAACAAUGGUUUUUUAUAGAAAAAAUUGUAAAUUUGGUCCUUUUACUUUGUCACAUUUUGAGAUUUUGAUCCUAGCUGUUUUGAAGUUCUUGGCCUAUGUAACACCCUUUCUCAAAGCUUUUAUUAUGAGUUGUGUUGUAUGUAUACUUUUGAGUAUAAGUAAAAGUAAACAUAAAGCCAACACUUGGAGGGUUUUAGCCGUUA